GGAGAGAUGGCUGAGUGGUUGAAGGCAUAGCACUGGAAAUGCUAUUUAGAAUAUACUUAACGAGGGUUCGAAUCCCUCUCUCUCCU
rnacentral:tRNA from 1 species